UUUGUGGCAGCUUUUGAACAUCUGUGACAUCUAUUAAUGUCAAAUCUAGCCUUUAUUUAACAACAUAAGCAAACUCUAUGUUACAAUAAUUGCACAGCCAUUAAGGAUCAAAUCAGUUUCUGAAAAAUGUUCCUUUUUUUCUCCCUCUGCUUGCUUCUUACUGUCUUUGAGGCUCGGGACCAGCACUCCUGUUGUUGGACAGAAAGACAUCAACUUGAGAUAUGACUGCACUAUGCUGUUGCUGGUGACUCCAGUUAAUUCUACAAGACAUGCUGUGACACCAGGAGAGAUGAGUCCUCCGUCACAGAUGGUGUGGUCAGUGAAGAUGGUCGCCUGCAGGUUCAAGCUCAUUGCAUCUCCAACCCACAUCCAC